rnacentral:rRNA from 1 species
AUUGCACGCUAGCGGGAUGCCUUACACAUGCAAGUCGAACGGAGUGGCGAACGGGUGAGUAAUGUAUCGGAACGUGCCCAGUCGCGGGGGCUAACUACGCGAAAGCGUAGCUAAUACCGCAUACUAUUAGAGCGGCCGAUAUCGGAGUAGCUAGUUGGUGGGGUAACGGCGAACCAAGGCUACGAUCCGUAGCUGGUUUGAGAGGACGACCAGCCAAACUGGGAUGGAGACACGGCCCAGCCUACUACGGGAGGCAGCAGGGGGGAAUUUUGGACAAUGGGGGAAACCCUGAUCCAGCCAUCCCGCGUGUGCGAUGAAGUCCUUCGGGUGGUAAAGCACUUUUGGCAGGAAAGCGGUACCUGCAGAAUAAGCACCGGCUAACUACGUGCCAGCAGCCGCGGUAAUAC